UUAAGCGACUAAGCGUACACGGUGGAUGCCCUGGCAGUCAGAGGCGAUGAAGGACGUGCUAAUCUGCGAUAAGCGUCGGUAAGGUGAUAUGAACCGUUAUAACCGGCGAUUUCCGAAUGGGGAAACCCAGUGUGUUUCGACACACUAUCAUUAACUGAAUCCAUAGGUUAAUGAGGCGAACCGGGGGAACUGAAACAUCUAAGUACCCCGAGGAAAAGAAAUCAACCGAGAUUCCCCCAGUAGCGGCGAGCGAACGGGGAGCAGCCCAGAGCCUGAAUCAGUAUGUGUGUUAGUGGAAGCGUCUGGAAAGGCGCGCGAUACAGGGUGACAGCCCCGUACACAAAAAUGCACAUGCUGUGAGCUCGAUGAGUAGGGCGGGACACGUGGUAUCCUGUCUGAAUAUGGGGGGACCAUCCUCCAAGGCUAAAUACUCCUGACUGACCGAUAGUGAACCAGUACCGUGAGGGAAAGGCGAAAAGAACCCCGGCGAGGGGAGUGAAAAAGAACCUGAAACCGUGUACGUACAAGCAGUGGGAGCUCGCUUAGGCGUGUGACUGCGUACCUUUUGUAUAAUGGGUCAGCGACUUAUAUUCUGUAGCAAGGUUAACCGAAUAGGGGAGCCGAAGGGAAACCGAGUCUUAACUGGGCGUUAAGUUGCAGGGUAUAGACCCGAAACCCGGUGAUCUAGCCAUGGGCAGGUUGAAGGUUGGGUAACACUAACUGGAGGACCGAACCGACUAAUGUUGAAAAAUUAGCGGAUGACUUGUGGCUGGGGGUGAAAGGCCAAUCAAACCGGGAGAUAGCUGGUUCUCCCCGAAAGCUAUUUAGGUAGCGCCUCGUGAAUUCAUCUCCGGGGGUAGAGCACUGUUUCGGCAAGGGGGUCAUCCCGACUUACCAACCCGAUGCAAACUGCGAAUACCGGAGAAUGUUAUCACGGGAGACACACGGCGGGUGCUAACGUCCGUCGUGAAGAGGGAACAACCCAGACCGCCAGCUAAGGUCCCAAAGUCAUGGUUAAGUGGGAAACGAUGUGGGAAGGCCCAGACAGCCAGGAUGUUGGCUUAGAAGCAGCCAUCAUUUAAAGAAAGCGUAAUAGCUCACUGGUCGAGUCGGCCUGCGCGGAAGAUGUAACGGGGCUAAACCAUGCACCGAAGCUGCGGCAGCGACGCUUAUGCGUUGUUGGGUAGGGGAGCGUUCUGUAAGCCUGCGAAGGUGUGCUGUGAGGCAUGCUGGAGGUAUCAGAAGUGCGAAUGCUGACAUAAGUAACGAUAAAGCGGGUGAAAAGCCCGCUCGCCGGAAGACCAAGGGUUCCUGUCCAACGUUAAUCGGGGCAGGGUGAGUCGACCCCUAAGGCGAGGCCGAAAGGCGUAGUCGAUGGGAAACAGGUUAAUAUUCCUGUACUUGGUGUUACUGCGAAGGGGGGACGGAGAAGGCUAUGUUGGCCGGGCGACGGUUGUCCCGGUUUAAGCGUGUAGGCUGGUUUUCCAGGCAAAUCCGGAAAAUCAAGGCUGAGGCGUGAUGACGAGGCACUACGGUGCUGAAGCAACAAAUGCCCUGCUUCCAGGAAAAGCCUCUAAGCAUCAGGUAACAUCAAAUCGUACCCCAAACCGACACAGGUGGUCAGGUAGAGAAUACCAAGGCGCUUGAGAGAACUCGGGUGAAGGAACUAGGCAAAAUGGUGCCGUAACUUCGGGAGAAGGCACGCUGAUAUGUAGGUGAAGUCCCUCGCGGAUGGAGCUGAAAUCAGUCGAAGAUACCAGCUGGCUGCAACUGUUUAUUAAAAACACAGCACUGUGCAAACACGAAAGUGGACGUAUACGGUGUGACGCCUGCCCGGUGCCGGAAGGUUAAUUGAUGGGGUUAGCGCAAGCGAAGCUCUUGAUCGAAGCCCCGGUAAACGGCGGCCGUAACUAUAACGGUCCUAAGGUAGCGAAAUUCCUUGUCGGGUAAGUUCCGACCUGCACGAAUGGCGUAAUGAUGGCCAGGCUGUCUCCACCCGAGACUCAGUGAAAUUGAACUCGCUGUGAAGAUGCAGUGUACCCGCGGCAAGACGGAAAGACCCCGUGAACCUUUACUAUAGCUUGACACUGAACAUUGAGCCUUGAUGUGUAGGAUAGGUGGGAGGCUUUGAAGUGUGGACGCCAGUCUGCAUGGAGCCGACCUUGAAAUACCACCCUUUAAUGUUUGAUGUUCUAACGUUGACCCGUAAUCCGGGUUGCGGACAGUGUCUGGUGGGUAGUUUGACUGGGGCGGUCUCCUCCUAAAGAGUAACGGAGGAGCACGAAGGUUGGCUAAUCCUGGUCGGACAUCAGGAGGUUAGUGCAAUGGCAUAAGCCAGCUUGACUGCGAGCGUGACGGCGCGAGCAGGUGCGAAAGCAGGUCAUAGUGAUCCGGUGGUUCUGAAUGGAAGGGCCAUCGCUCAACGGAUAAAAGGUACUCCGGGGAUAACAGGCUGAUACCGCCCAAGAGUUCAUAUCGACGGCGGUGUUUGGCACCUCGAUGUCGGCUCAUCACAUCCUGGGGCUGAAGUAGGUCCCAAGGGUAUGGCUGUUCGCCAUUUAAAGUGGUACGCGAGCUGGGUUUAGAACGUCGUGAGACAGUUCGGUCCCUAUCUGCCGUGGGCGCUGGAGAACUGAGGGGGCUGCUCCUAGUACGAGAGGACCGGAGUGGACGCAUCACUGGUGUUCGGGUUGUCAUGCCAAUGGCACUGCCCGGUAGCUAAAUGCGGAAGAGAUAAGUGCUGAAAGCAUCUAAGCACGAAACUUGCCCCGAGAUGAGUUCUCCCUGACUCCUUGAGAGUCCUGAAGGAACGUUGAAGACGACGACGUUGAUAGGCCGGGUGUGUAAGCGCAGCGAUGCGUUGAGCUAACCGGUACUAAUGAACCGUGAGGCUUAACCUU
rnacentral:rRNA from 1 species